rnacentral:lncRNA from 1 species
GAAGUAGUACCUGGAUCGGCAACUCCUCGAUGUUUGUGACCACCGCUAGGUGGCAGUGGUGUCGAGCGCUAAGGACGCGGGGGAGCGGGUGCUAUUCAAAACAAUGGUCGGCGUCGCGUCGUAGGAUCGUUUGCCUUGUUUUUUGAAAAGUUAAGCCCCUUUGGAGCAGAUUGGAAGGUUUCAGAAGAUGGAGGAAGAUGGCAAGAUCAAAGAGAUGGGUUCAGUUUCCACGGUGUGCUGACUUGAAUUGGCAUCCUGUGAUUUGUGAUGUGAAUUAUGAUGCACGCACUCGCAGGUGCACGCCCACUGCGGACACGUGUGACGUGACGGCAGCAGGCAGCCGGGGUGUGAACUGUGAACUGGCUCGGCCGAAAAUGUUUAAGGUAUCACAGCGUUUGUAACUGACUAACAUACCCACUACGGGCAUACCCAUUGAGCGGAUAAUGCGUUCGUGUGCAUCGUGUUUGCAUUUAUUCCCGAUAUACUCUGGUGGUAGGUGUGAAUUGGAAACCAACUUGGUGCUACGACACCGUUUAGUAGGCAUGUGGCACGUCGUUUCUCGAAACCUACCUAUCAGUCUAUGCAAUAAUAUGCAUUGUAUACAUUGUGUGUCAUCGUUCACCUUAGUUGUCAUUGAACCUGUGUUAAAUUCUGAACUUCAGGCCGAGACAGACUAUUUCCACAGUCAGGAAAU